rnacentral:rRNA from 1 species
CCUUCGGGAUGAUUUGUUGGACGCUAGCGGCGGAUGGGUGAGUAACACGUGGGCAAUCUGCCCUAAARACUGGGAUACCACUUGGAAACAGGUGCUAAUACCGGAUAACAACAUGAAUCGCAUGAUUCAAGUUUGAAAGGCGGCGUAAGCUGUCACUUUAGGAUGASCCCGCGGCGCAUUASCUAGUUGGKGGGGUAAAGGCCUACCAAGGCAAUGAUGCGUAGCCRAGUUGAGARACUGAUCGGCCACAUUGGGACUGAGACACGGCCCAAACUCCUACGGGAGGCAGCAGUAGGGAAUCUUCCACAAUGGACGCAAGUCUGAUGGAGCAACGCCGCGUGAGUGAARAAGGUUUUCGGAUCGUAAAGCUCUGUUGUUGGUGAARAAGGAUAGAGGCAGUAACUGGUCUUUAUUUGACGGUAAUCAACCAGAAAGUCACGGCUAACUACGUGCCAGCAGCCGCGGUAAUACGUAGGUGGCAAGCGUUGUCCGGAUUUAUUGGGCGUAAAGCGAGCGCAGGCGGAAUGAUAAGUCUGAUGUGAAAGCCCACGGCUCAACCGKGGAACUGCAUCGRAAACUGUCAUUCUUGAGUGCAGAAGAGGAGAGUGGAAUUCCAUGUGUAGCGGUGGAAUGCGUAGAUAUAUGGAAGAACACCAGUGGCGAAGGCGGCUCUYUGGUCUGCAACUGACGCUGAGGCUCGAAAGCAUGGGUAGCGAACAGGAUUAAAUACCCUGGUAGUCCAUGCCGUAAACGAUGACCGCUAGGUGUUGGGGACUUUCCGGUCCUCAAUGCCCCAACAAACGCAUUAAGCGCUCCCCCUGGGGAAUAC